ensembl:lncRNA
GCAGCACAGUCAGAUGGAAGUUGAAACUGGAGCAGCAGCAUGGCCAGGUGGACUGGGGACAGCAAGGAGUCAUCAUGUCAGGUAGUCCUGGGGCAUGGUCCUAGGGCCCAGGUCAGUUGAAACUGGAACAGCAGCAUGGCCAGGUGGACUGGGGACAGCAAGGAGUCAUCAUGUCAGGUAGUCCUGGAGCUCAGGUCCUAGGGCUCAGGUCAGUUGAAACUGGAACAGCAGCAUGGCCAGGUGGACUGGGGACAGCAAGGAGUCAUCAUGUCAGGUAGUCCUGGAGCUCAGGUCCUAGGGCUCAGGUCCUCCGG